rfam:Bombyx mori DNA, contig: Bm_scaf5_contig4738, strain: p50T/Dazao, build 2, whole genome shotgun sequence.
UUAACUCAAAUUUGUAUAGAGUUGGAACGUUUUCCUACAUUUGCCGCUAGGGGCGCUGUUACAACUGCAUACAAAUUCGCACUA